rnacentral:RNase_P_RNA from 1 species
UCGGCAGGUCUUGUUACCGCCUGCGCCUUAUAAGUGCAGGAGGAAAGUCCGGGCUCCAUAGAGCAUGAUGCCAGCUAACGGCUGGAAGCGCAGUUUUUCUGCGCUAUAGAAAGUGCCACAGAAAAUAGACUGCCUGUCUGGUCUCCAGGCAGGUGAUGGUGAAAAGGCGGGGUAAGAGCCCACCGGGCAUCUGGCAACAGGUGCCGCAUGGCAAACCUCAUCAGGAGCAAAGCCAAAGAGCAGAGAGUGGCUCGCUCUUAUCUGCGGGUAGGCUGCUAUAGAAAUCUGGCGACAGGUUUCAUAGACAGAUGGUGACACACGACAGAACUCGGCUUAUAGACCUGCUUUUUUA